rnacentral:rRNA from 1 species
CCUACGUGAGGCCGCAGUGAGGAAUAUUGGUCAAUGGGCUUACGCCUGAACCAGCCAAGUCGCGUGAGUGAAGAAGUAUUUCGGUACGUAAAGCUCUAUCAGCAGGACAGAAAAUGACGGUACCUGACUAAGAAGCCCCGGCUAACUACGUGCCAGCAGCCGCGGUAGUACGGAGAGGGCAAGCGGUAUCUGGAUUUACUGGGAGUCAAGGGUGCGUCGGCGGCAGCGCAAGUCAGGAGUGAAAUGCCUGGGCCCACACCCCGAACUGCUCUGGAAACUGGGAAGCUGGAGUGCAGGAGAGGUAAGCGGAAUUCCGGGUGUAGCGGUGAAAGGCGUAGAUAUCAGGAGGAACACCGGCGGCGAAGGCGGCUUACUGGACUGUAACUGACGUUGAGGCUCGAAGGCGUGGGGAGCAAACAGGAUUAGAUACCCCAGUAGUC